UACGUAGGGUGCGAGCGUUGUCCGGAAUUAUUGGGCGUAAAGAGCUCGUAGGCGGUGUGUCACGUCGGCCGUGAAAACCUGCAGCUUAACUGUGGGCGUGCGGUCGAUACGGGCAUCACUGGAGUUCGGCAGGGGAGACUGGAAUUCUCGGUGUAGCGGUGGAAUGCGCAGAUAUCAGGAGGAACACCGAUGGCGAAGGCAGAUCUCUGGGCCGUAACUGACGCUGAGGAGCGAAAGCGUGGGGAGCGAACAGG
rnacentral:rRNA from 1 species